CAUUAUGUUGAGAAGAGUUCACGCUCGGAUUCUGUAUUGCCCUCAGCUCAUGGAUAGCCAACGGUCACCGUAAUUGUAGCCCCAUAGAAACGCUGACUACAAACAACCUCGGAUAGGAAUAUUGAAGCUAUUCGCCUUUUCACUGAGCUAGUUCUUCAUUCAAUGUCGGAACAAUGUUUAAAGACGGUAACACAAUUGAUGCACGAUUAAGCUGAUACGACAGUUGCCGACUCUGAAACGUAUAGAAACGUGGUCAGGAUAGACUAGGAAAGAUAUCGGACUCCCACAACUAUGCUCGCUCUGGAGGACCUUCUCAAACCUACAUGUCGACCUCGAAAUCAAAUGCGGAACAGACAUGAUGUUACAUGUCGGCUGAAUACGUAUGUAGAUAUUAAUUACCCUAUGUGUGGUCUUGAGACUGUUGAUAAACUGGAUGUGCCAGGAUGCCGGAUUUGAGGUGACACACUCCAGGGUAUGGUGACACACCAG